rnacentral:rRNA from 1 species
UACGUAGGGUGCAAGCGUUGUCCGGAAUUAUUGGGCGUAAAGAGCUCGUAGGCGGUCUGUCGCGUCUGCUGUGAAAUCCCGGGGCUCAACUCCGGGCUUGCAGUGGAUACGGGCAGACUAGAGUUCGGUAGGGGAGACUGGAAUUCCUGGUGUAGCGGUGAAAUGCGCAGAUAUCAGGAGGAACACCGGUGGCGAAGGCGGGGUCUCUGGGCCGAUACUGACGCUGAGGAGCGAAAGCGUGGGGAGCGAACAGG